CCUACGGGGCGCAGCAGUGGGGAAUAUUGGGCAAUGGGCGCAAGCCUGACCCAGCAAUGCCGCGUGAAGGAAGAAGGCUUUCGGGUUGUAAACUUCUUUGACAGGGGAAGAGCAGAAGACGGUACCCUGAAAACAAGCCACGGCUAACUACGUGCCAGCAGCCGCGGUAAUACGUAGGUGGCAAGCGUUGUCCGGAUUUACUGGGUGUAAAGGGCGUGUAGCCGGGAAGGCAAGUCAGAUGUGAAAUCUGGAGGCUCAACCUCCAAAUUGCAUUUGAAACUGUUUUUCUUGAGUACUGGAGAGGCAGACGGAAUUCCGUGGGUAGCGGUGAAAUGCGUAGAUAUAAGGAGGAACACCAGUGGCGAAGGCGGUCUGCUGGACAGCAACUGACGGUGAGGCGCGAAAGCGUGGGGAGCAAACAGGAUUAGAUACCCUUGUAGUC
rnacentral:rRNA from 1 species